rnacentral:lncRNA from 1 species
CAGGAUGUGGCUCAGUUUAUGGCUGCUGGCUCCUUAGGCCACUGGACCAACCCAGUGUCUCCAGAUGGGGUGCCCCAAAGCACCGUUUCCCAAUUCCGUCUGGGUUUACAUGAGCUCGGGCUUUGGCUGUGAAUGGAUGGUAAAAGGCUGGAGGGAAGACCUGUCAGCUGAGAGGGAAAACAGCAAGAGCUGCGUGGCGGUGGCCGAAGAGUAGGAAUCUCCCGAAAUCAUCCAUACAGGCAGCCCAGUAGGAAAAAGAGCAAGAGGAGGACUCCAGGCAGCUGUUAAUGGUGAUCAUUUUCGAAAGUUUGAGAAAGAAAGCAAAUAAAAACAACCGAAACGGUUCAAAGUGCCUUCUGGAAGUCACAUUUCUGGAGACCACCUGUUUCCACCAGGAACACCUUACAACUAAUGGAUCAUGGGAAAGGGGAGCCUGUGUACAAUAUUUGCCUUCACCUGUCUGUACUUCUACCAACAGAGCAUCUAGGUGCGGAAUCACGUUGCCCUCCAGUGGCUGCAGCUCAUGGCGACAGCAGGAGGAAUUCUGGGGUCCCUGGCUGUCCCCUAAAGUCCGAUGUUUGUUUGAAGGUGAGGAUUUAGACUUCCAGAGGGAGAGCGGGGUGCUGUUGGUGUGCAUGUGGACUCUAAACCUGGGGCCCAACAGGCACCUGUCCUUCCCAUGUUUCCCCCCAACCCCCACCCCAAUUACAUCUGACCCUUCUUUCCACCGAAGAUUCCUCUUCCCCCCCACCGGGCUUCUUCCUUUGUAA